rnacentral:lncRNA from 1 species
CCCGCCCCCGGCCUGGUGUAGAUCAUGCCGCCAGUGGCGGCCCUGACUGCCGAGGAAACCGUAGCCUAGGACAGUUGGCUGUUAAGUGACACUGAUUCUCCCCGCCCCGCCUGACCCCUGAGAAAGAGGCACGUCCCCCGCCGCGUGAGGGGGUGGGGAAGUGGGUAGCGAAUUCGGAUCCACCUGGGAGGGGGGGAGUGGAAGUUCCCGCCCCAGACAGCGGCGAGGCGGCAGCCACAGUUGAUUAUGGAAGAUUCUCACAAGAGUAACACUUCAGAGACAGCACCUCAGUCUGGUUCAGCAGUUCAGGGAGCUCAUAUUUCUCACAUUGCUCAACAGGAUUAUCCGUAAUGUAGAUUAAUCUGUUGUUUCAGAUUGCUAAUUACUAACAUUCAAAAAAAGAACCAAGGAGGGAAAAAAACCUGUACAAUGUUGAAAUGUGUAGAAGGAAGGGAUAUUUUAUUUAACUAUCUUAAGAUCAUUGUUUUAUUUUCUUUCAUUCAAAGUAUAUUUAGUAUUGUUUUAAUAUGCAUAUACUUCUCAAAACUUGGAAAGAUAGAUUUCAUUUUAUGUGGUGCAGGAUCAUUUAGAUAUUUUUCAGACAAAAUUUAUUGCUGCAUAAGAAGAAUGAAAAAUUAUUUGGCUUUUUGGGCUAACUUGAAAUAGACACUGAUAGUUUCAGGUGGGAAACUUUCUUUUAUGGGGGGAGCCAUUUCCAAUUUUAUAGAUAUAUUGUGGAUAUAUAGAAAAUAUUUUUGCUGAACUGGAAUAUAGGCAUAUUAGAGAAUUUAAACUGACAGUUGUACAUAUUGCAGGACUGAUGAUAUUUUUAAAAUGUCAAAUUUUCUGAUUCAUGGACCUGACUCUAUUCAGGGAAGACAACUGACAGUAUAUGUUGCCAGCAAUAGGAUUUGAAUUUUUGGAAUUCCUUUCGUGAUGCAGUGGAAACAAACCCGACUAGGAACUAUGAGGGUUGUGGAUUCGAUCCCUGGCCUCGCUCAGUGGGUUAAGGAUCCGGUGCUGCUGUGAGCUGUGGUAUAGGUCGCAGACAUGGCUUGGAUCCCGCGUUGCUGUAGCUGUGGUGUAGGCCAACAGCUACAGCUCUGAUUCGACCCCUAGCCUGGGAACCUCCAUAUGCUG